rnacentral:misc_RNA from 1 species
GAUGAAGAACGCAGCGAAAUGCGAUAAGUAAUGCGAAUUGCAGAAUUCAGUGAGUCAUCGAAUCUUUGAACGCACAUUGCGCCCUGUGGUAUUCGGCAGGGCAUGCCUGUUCGAGCGUCAUUUCAACCCUCAAGCUCUGCUUGGUGUUGGGCCCUGCCCGCUGCGGCCGGCCCUAAAGACAGUGGCGGUGCCGCCUGGCCCUGAGCGUAGUACAUCUCUCGCUCCAGUGCCCGGUGGUAGCCUGCCAGAACCCCAACUCUCGUGGUUGACCUCGGAUCAGGUAGGGAUACCCGCUGAACUUAAGCAUAUCAAUAAGCGGAGGA